CCUACGGGUGGCAGCAGUGGGGAAUAUUGGAAAAUGGGGGCAACCCUGAUCCAGCCAUGCCGCGUGUGUGAAGAAGGCCCUCGGGUUGUAAAGCACUUUCAGUGAGGAAGAACGCCUGGUGGUUAAUACCCAUCAGGAAAGACAUCACUCACAGAAGAAGCACCGGCUAACUCCGUGCCAGCAGCCGCGGUAAUACGGAGGGUGCGAGCGUUAAUCGGAAUUACUGGGCGUAAAGCGCGCGUAGGUGGCUUGAUAAGCCGGUUGUGAAAGCCCCGGGCUCAACCUGGGAACGGCAUCCGGAACUGUCAAGCUAGAGUGCAGGAGAGGAAGGUAGAAUUCCCGGUGUAGCGGUGAAAUGCGUAGAGAUCGGGAGGAAUACCAGUGGCGAAGGCGGCCUUCUGGACUGACACUGACACUGAGGUGCGAAAGCGUGGGUAGCAAACAGGAUUAGAUACCCUAGUAGUC
rnacentral:rRNA from 1 species